CCUGGUGACCAAAGAGCGUUGGUACCACCCGAUCCCAUCUCGAACUCGGAAGUGAAACUGCGUAUCGCCGAUGGUAGUGUGGGGCCUCCCCAUGCGAGAGUAGGACAUUGCCAGGC
rnacentral:rRNA from 1 species